rnacentral:rRNA from 1 species
GAUGAACGCUGGCGGCGUGCUUAACACAUGCAAGUCGAACGGUGAAGCGCCUUCCUUUUUGGUCGGUGUGGAUGAGUGGCGAAGGGGUGAGUAACACGUUAGUAACCUUCCACGUCCUGCUGGAUAACCGCAUGAAGGUGUGACUACUACGGGAUAUUCUGGAUCUGUCGCAUCAUUGGUCUGAGAAAGCUAUUGUUUCGGUUGUAGAUGGGUUCGCGGCCUAUCAGCUUGUUGGUGGGGUGACGGCCUACCAAGGCGGUGACGGGUAGCCGGCCUGAGAGGGUGGACGAUCAUGAUGGGGCUGCGACACCGCCACGACUACUACGGGCAGCAGCAGGGGGGAAUAUUGAACAAUGGGAGAAAGCCUGGUGCAGCGACGCGGGGGGAGGGAUGGAGGCCUUCGGGUUGUGAACCUCUUUCGCGAGUGAAGCAGGCCUGCCGCGUUUGUGGGUGGGUUGACGGUAGCUGGAUAAGAAGCGCCGGCUAACUACGUG